UCGCCGCCGGCGACGUCGCGAGAAGUCCACUGAACCUUAUCAUUUAGAGGAAGGAGAAGUCGUAACAAGGUUUCCGUAGGUGAACCUGCGGAAGGAUCAUUGUCGAUGCCUGCAAAGCAGAACGACCCGCGAACCGUUUCUCAACACUCGGGGCACGGGAGGGCGUUCAUUCGGCCGCCCGGUACCCCGGCGCUCCGGACGCUGGGGGUGGUGCGAGCCACCCCCGGCGGAGGGAGCAUCAAACAAAACCCCGGCGUGCAAAGCGCCAAGGUACUCCAACGGUAGGGCAAGCACCCGAACGCCUGGACUCCAGCGCGAUCGGGCGUCUGUUCGGUAUCAUAAGUCUAAACGACUNNNGUGUGAAUUGCAGAAUCCCGUGAACCAUCGAGUCUUUGAACGCAAGUUGCGCCCGAAGCCUCGGCUGAGGGCACGCCUGCCUGGGUGUCACACGUCGCCUCGCCUCCAAAACCUUCCCCCUCGUGGUGAUGGUACGGAUGCGGAAGAUGGCCUCCCGUGACCACGAGCCACGGAUGGCCCAAGUCUCUGCUGGGGGAGCGAAGCGCCACGGCUUUCGGUGGUCGGCACUGCCCUCGAGGCAAUCAAUCAAUCAAGCCCGUGGCAUCCGCGACAGCCCCCGGUGUACGACCCUAAUCAUUAAAUCAACCAACGCGACCUCAGGUCAGGCGGGGCUACCCGCUGAGUUUAAGCAUAUCAAUAAGCGGAGG
rnacentral:rRNA from 1 species